GACGUUUUGUGGUCUAGAGAGUCGGCAAUUAGAUCCUUUGUGGCUGGCCUUUGUUUGACACAGCCCUGGACCCAGGGAUAGGACAGCAGAAGGCAGACGUACUCCUCUCCUCUCUGACCCUCAACUUGAAGGGAAGAACUGGCGUAUACCUGGGGCUCACUCACCUAUCUGGCCAUCCUAUAAAGUCUAUGAAAGGGUUGACUUUGGGUCCAGCGUUGGGAAGGACUUCCCUGAAGACAGGGACAGGAAAGGGUUCUUGAAGCUGGACCCUGUCUCCCCUGAAGCCUGCCACCUGGUCACCAGGAGAGGAUGGUCU